rnacentral:lncRNA from 1 species
GGCCUUUUAAACUUUUUUUGAUUGAGCGUCACUGAUGAGUCUUUUGUAGACGAAAUGAGCUUCUGGCAUAUAUACAAAUUUAGUCCUGGUAUCUGUGAUGAGUUUAUUUAAAACAGCUUUGAAUUUGGAUUGUGAUUGAUCGGUUUGUGACAAAAAUUGAAUGUGGUCAAAGAACAGAAAUUUUCAAAUCAGAUAUUUAUUCAUUAUGGUUCAAUAUUCAAAAUUUAAGUACAUUGUUAGAAUCAGCAUACCAAAAACCUCA